rnacentral:rRNA from 1 species
UACGGGGGGAGCAAGCGUUGUUCGGAUUUACUGGGCGUAAAGGGCGCGUAGGCGGCGUAACAAGUCACUUGUGAAAUCUCCGGGCUUAACCCGGAGCGGCCAAGUGAUACUGUUGUGCUAGAGUGCGGAAGGGGCUACUGGAAUUCUCGGUGUAGCGGUGAAAUGCGUAGAUAUCGAGAGGAACACCUGCGGCGAAGGCGGCUUCCUGGCCUGUUCUUGACGCUGAGGCGCGAAAGCUAGGGGAGCAAACGGG